UUCAACUGUGACAAAGCCCUUUAAACAAGCUUCAGCUUGCAAGAAAUCAGCUAUAGAGCUGUUCUUUACAAGCUAGCAUGUGAUUCCCAGUUCUAAGAUUUCCUUCUCUUGUUGCCACUCCCAUACAACAACAAAAAAACAAGAUGCAAACUUCAUUAUUAUGGGGAGUCCAUUUAACAUUGUAGAAUCAGUACAUAGAUGAUCUUCUAUGGAUAAUGAAGAAGAGGAGGGAAAAUUUCAGGGUGUAUUGCCUUUGGAAUUUCAAAGAACUCUGAAACAACGCCGUUGUUCGACGCAACACAUCUGGGGCGGGGGAGGCGGCAUCGGAGAAAUCGUAGAUGAAAGAAGAACAAAUAAUCACGGGGAAACGAAGAGAUAACACCAUCCAUAAAAGUUGCCAUAUGUGAGUGAGGAUCAUUAAUGUUUUGGUAGAUGCUUUUACAUGCAUGAUGUUUUCUCGGACAGGAAAGGAUUUAUUGGCUCAAGACAAGGGAGCAUUACUUUGGAGCAGUGCAAGUAGUGAAGUUACUUCUGCUAGCAUGUUGUUAUUGACUAAGAGGCUGAUGUAUCUGUGAAGAUUUUUCCUCGGGGUUGCACGUGGCUUCCUUGUGUGGUACGAGAAGAAGAUAAAGUGGCUGUGAAAUCGGCCGAAGAGACUCAGCAAGUCAUGGUGGGGUGUUUGGGAAGCAUCUCAAGCCUGGAUAGAUAAUAUAUUCUUCGUUCUUGGCCCCCUUGAAGGAUGUAAGAUUAGUAGUGGCAUUGUGCAAUGUGAAGCUUUUAGUUACAAUCAGUAUAUCUGGGGAAUGAGUGAAUAUUUUGUUUUCUGUGUUGAGUGCACUUUUUGUGGUUCUCGUGCCUGCAUUUAGCAGGGGAAAAUUUCUAUUUUGAUGCGUUAAAAAUUGUAAUCAUGCUGCUUCAACUCUACCAGAAUUAAUUUGUUGUUUAUACUCUUUUAUAUAUGUUGU